rnacentral:rRNA from 1 species
GGGAGCUUGCUCCCUUAGGUCAGCGGCGGACGGGUGAGUAACACGUGGGUAACCUGCCUGUAAGACUGGGAUAACUCCGGGAAACCGGGGCUAAUACCGGAUGCUUGAUUGAACCGCAUGGUUCAAUCAUAAAAGGUGGCUUUUAGCUACCACUUACAGAUGGACCCGCGGCGCAUUAGCUAGUUGGUGAGGUAACGGCUCACCAAGGCGACGAUGCGUAGCCGACCUGAGAGGGUGAUCGGCCACACUGGGACUGAGACACGGCCCAGACUCCUACGGGAGGCAGCAGUAGGGAAUCUUCCGCAAUGGACGAAAGUCUGACGGAGCAACGCCGCGUGAGUGAUGAAGGUUUUCGGAUCGUAAAACUCUGUUGUUAGGGAAGAACAAGUACCGUUCGAAUAGGGCGGUACCUUGACGGUACCUAACCAGAAAGCCACGGCUAACUACGUGCCAGCAGCCGCGGUAAUACGUAGGUGGCAAGCGUUGUCCGGAAUUAUUGGGCGUAAAGCGCGCGCAGGCGGUUUCUUAAGUCUGAUGUGAAAGCCCCCGGCUCAACCGGGGAGGGUCAUUGGAAACUGGGGAACUUGAGUGCAGAAGAGGAGAGUGGAAUUCCACGUGUAGCGGUGAAAUGCGUAGAGAUGUGGAGGAACACCAGUGGCGAAGGCGACUCUCUGGUCUGUAACUGACGCUGARGCGCGAAAGCGUGGGGAGCGAACAGGAUUAGAUACCCUGGUAGUCCACGCCGUAAACGAUGAGUGCUAAGUGUUAGAGGGUUUCCGCCCUUUAGUGCUGCAGCAAACGCAUUAAGCACUCCGCCUGGGGAGUACGGUCGCAAGACUGAAACUCAAAGGAAUUGACGGGGGCCCGCACAAGCGGUGGAGCAUGUGGUUUAAUUCGAAGCAACGCGAAGAACCUUACCAGGUCUUGACAUCCUCUGACAACCCUAGAGAUAGGGCUUCCCCUUCGGGGGCAGAGUGACAGGUGGUGCAUGGUUGUCGUCAGCUCGUGUCGUGAGAUGUUGGGUUAAGUCCCGCAACGAGCGCAACCCUUGAUCUUAGUUGCCAGCAUUCAGUUGGGCACUCUAAGGUGACUGCCGGUGACAAACCGGAGGAAGGUGGGGAUGACGUCAAAUCAUCAUGCCCCUUAUGACCUGGGCUACACACGUGCUACAAUGGGCAGAACAAAGGGCAGCGAAGCCGCGAGGCUAAGCCAAUCCCACAAAUCUGUUCUCAGUUCGGAUCGCAGUCUGCAACUCGACUGCGUGAAGCUGGAAUCGCUAGUAAUCGCGAUCAGCAUG